UGGGGAAUAUUGGACAAUGGGCGCAAGCCUGAUCCAGCCAUGCCGCGUGAGUGAUGAAGGCCCUAGGGUUGUAAAGCUCUUUCACCGGUGAAGAUAAUGACGGUAACCGGAGAAGAAGCCCCGGCUAACUUCGUGCCAGCAGCCGCGGUAAUACGAAGGGGGCAAGCGUUGUUCGGAAUUACUGGGCGUAAAGGGCGCGUAGGCGGCUUAUCAAGUCAGGCGUGAAAUUCCCGGGCUCAACCUGGGGGCUGCGCUUGAUACUGAUGAGCUUGAAUGCGGGAGAGGAUAGUGGAAUUCCCAGUGUAGAGGUGAAAUUCGUAGAUAUUGGGAAGAACACCGGUGGCGAAGGCGGCUAUCUGGCCCGUAAUUGACGCUGAGGCGCGAAAGCGUGGGGAGCAAA
rnacentral:rRNA from 1 species